rnacentral:hammerhead_ribozyme from 1 species
AUCCAGCUGACGAGUCCAAAAUAGGACGAAGCGCGUGGCCUCGAU